UACGUAGGGUGCAAGCGUUGUCCGGAAUUAUUGGGCGUAAAGAGCUUGUAGGCGGUUUGUCGCGUCUGCUGUGAAAUUUCGGGGCUCAACCCCGAACUUGCAGUGGGUACGGGGCAGACUAGAGUGUGGUAGGGGAGACUGGAAUUCCUGGUGUAGCGGUGAAAUGCGCAGAUAUCAGGAGGAACACCGAUGGCGAAGGCAGGUCUCUGGGCCAUAACUGACGCUGAGAAGCGAAAAGCAUGGGGGAGCGAACAGGG
rnacentral:rRNA from 1 species